AACACAAUUUGUAUUUUGAUAUCUUUAUCACAAUUAUUUAUUUAUUUCACUGUUAACUCUAAAAUUUAUUUCAAACUUUACGACUUCCCUCUAUUGGCCAUGUUUGUAUGUCUUUUCCAACCACCAAAAACGAAAAGAACCAGCUCCCUAUGUAAAGACGAAAACCAGAGACAAAAAUCACCUCUCUCUUGUGCUUCCCCGACUCGUUACUCACCACCGUCAAAACACCGCUGGAGUUCUGUCGCCAUUUCAGUCGCUCGCUCUUCCCUGGCCGUUCUACACGCUGCACUGUUCUUCGUCUCCUCCUCAGUGGGUUUAUCAGAGAACCUGGGGACAAUCCGAAGUCGAUAUCAAUGACAUUUCACGACAAGUUUAAACAGGGACCAUUGCUUUCUGUGGUACUCACCAAACAUAAAAGAGAUCAGAGUAAUGAGUCAUAGGCAGGUUAGGAGAGCAAGACUAUACUAUUCGAGGGACAGACUUCCUGGACUCUCCACUUUCAAGUGAAAAACACUGCUAGUCCCAAGUUGUUUUUACUCAGAAACUUAUUUCCCACAUCUUAUGAUCUUGUAAGCCAUUUUUGAAAAAGGGUGAAAAAUCUCCAAACUACUCAGUCAUUAAUCUUCAUAUCUCAAUCAUUGAAGUAAGUAUUUUAAACUUCCUUGGGUCUUUUGCAUCUUUGAAUUCUCUUUUUCUUAUUAUACCAAUUCUCUUUUUUCUUUUUCAAUAUUUGUCACCAAAUUGGUGUGUUUGCUGUAAAAACAAUGGUGAAUCAAUUACCCAUCUUUUCCUAGAAUGCUCUUUCUCCACGGCUUUGUGGAGUAAAGUAUUAAAAGAGUUCGGGAUAUCUUGGUGUAUGCCUUCUUCAUGUUCGCAACUGUUCUUGUGUCAACUAGAGGGAGAGAAGAGAAUGGCUCGUCUUUGGCAAAGUACUGUGCUGGCAACUUUCUAGGUUAUUUGGUUGGAAAGAAAUAGCAAGAUCUUUGAUGAGUCCUCUUGCUCUGUUGAUUCCCUUUGGGAUAAAAUUAGAUUCUGGGUGGCUACCUGGGUAUAUAGGUCGAAAGGAUUUGAGGAUGUUUUCUUUUUGGAUCUUUGUAGGGAAUGGAUGUAUUUGUGGUCCCAAUCUUUCUUAUUCUGGCUUAUUCUAAGGCUUUGUAUAUGUCUUAUUUUUGUUUCCACGGUAUUCCUCCGCCAAAAGUGAGGGUUUUUAUUGAUUUUAAGAGGAGGUCUUUCUGACCUCUGAUUCUUCUU